CCUCCCCUUCCUUUCCUUUUUCCCUCCCCCUCUUUUUCUCCUUUUUUUUAAUUCGAAGCAACGCGAAGAACCUUACCAGGGCUUGACAUCCCUUGAACGCUAUAGAGAUAUAGUUUUUCUUUUAGAACAAGGAGACAGGUGGUGCAUGGUUGUCGUCAGCUCGUGUCGUGAGAUGUUGGGUUAAGUCCCGCAACGAGCGCAACCCCUAUUUUUAGUUGCCAUCAUUAAGUUGGGCACUCUAAAGAGACUGCCGGCAAGAAGUCGGAGGAAGGUGGGGAUGACGUCAAAUCAUCAUGCCCCUUAUGUCCUGGGCUACACACGUGCUACAAUGCCUAUACAGAGGGAAGCGAAGUGGUGACAUGAAGCGAAUCUCAGAAAAUAGGUCUCAGUUCGGAUUGUAGGCUGCAACUCGCCUAUAUGAAGUUGGAAUCGCUAGUAAUCGCAGGUCAGCAUACUGCGGUGAAUACGUUCCCGGGCCUUGCACACACCGCCCGU
rnacentral:rRNA from 1 species